AACGAACGCUGGCGGCAUGCCUAACACAUGCAAGUCGAACGAGACCUUUCGGGGUCUAGUGGCGCACGGGUGCGUAACGCGUGGGAAUCUGCCCUUGGGUUCGGAAUAACACAGAGAAAUUUGUGCUAAUACCGGAUGAUGUCUUCGGACCAAAGAUUUAUCGCCCAAGGAUGAGCCCGCGUAGGAUUAGGUAGUUGGUGGGGUAAUGGCCUACCAAGCCGACGAUCCUUAGCUGGCUGAGAGGAUGAUCAGCCACACUGGGACUGAGACACGGCCCAGACUCCUACGGGAGGCAGCAGUGGGGAAUAUUGGACAAUGGCGAAAGCCUGAUCCAGCAAUGCCGCGUGAGUGAUGAAGGCCUUA
rnacentral:rRNA from 1 species